AUACGGAGGAUGCAAGCGUUAUCCGGAAUGAUUGGGCGUAAAGCGUCCGCAGGUGGUUAUGUAAGUCUGUUGUUAAAGCGUGCGGCUCAACCGCAUAAGGGCAAUGGAAACUACAAGACUAGAGUGCGUUAGGGGUAGAGGGAAUUCCUGGUGUAGCGGUGAAAUGCGUAGAUAUCAGGAAGAACACCAGUGGCGAAGGCGCUCUGCUAUGCCGCAACCGACACUGAGGGACGAAAGCUAGGGGAGC
rnacentral:rRNA from 1 species